UUCACUUUUACACAGGAACAGCUCCAUCAAGUUCAACAGCUACACACUAAACGGACUGAACUUUGCAAAAAUGGAAUUUUAGAAAAAGUCUCCCCUCUCCCCGAGUCUGAUAGCAAAGAGCCCUAUUCAGUCAUCCACAGUGAGCACUUGCACUGACAGCCUGGGUUAUUGACAUCCUUCUGAACAGGAGUUGUGCCUUCCAGAGUAUCAACCUGGUGUCAUCUGCAAAUCUGAGGAGUUUGUCUAUCCCACCACCCGGCUGGUUGAUGAAAUUGCUCAGUAGCAUUGGCCCCACCACUGACUCCCAAGGACAAUCACAGCAUGAUGGCCACCAGUUAGUGCUUGAACUCGACUGCCAGCCUUUGAACAAAACAGCCCAGGUUUUCACCCAAACUGCCUGCAAGGAUGACAUGGGAGACUGCAUCAGAAGCCUUGCCUAAUACUAAGGUUAAUGACAAAAUUAUACUCUCCUCAUCCAUGGAUCCAGUCAUUUCAUCACAGAAGGAAUGAGGCUGGUCAGGCAUGAUCUCUCCCAUUGGUAAACCCACAGUGAAUGUUCCCAAUUACCUUCCUGUCCUUCAAGUGCCUGGAAAUGCCUUCUGGGAGGAUUUGUUCCAUACCCUUCCCACUGAGGGACUGAGACGAGGCAGUUCCCCAGAGCAGCUAUUACUCAGCAGAGCCGAGUUAAAGCUGCUCAGCGCUGAUGCUCCACAGAUGGUCAUGUUCUGCUUGGGCAGUGGUGAGUGAGGCUGGUCCCCCUGCAGCCCACCCAGCCACAGACCAUGGCCACGCCUGAAACAUCUCACUUUCCUCAGGAAAAAUCAUCCCAGCACCAUCCACUGUCCACUGGGCUAAAGGACAUGACAAAGGCUGUGGCACUGCUAUUUAUUUUGCCGUGAUUAUGGCAUUUCUUAUGUAGCAACUAUUGCAGAGGUUUUGCUUGAAAAUAAAAAAGCUGUAAACAGGUCUCUUGUUCCAAUUCGUAGCAUCU